rnacentral:tRNA from 1 species
GGGGGCGUCGUAUAACCUGGCUAUUAUAAUCGGCUCCAGACCGAUUGAUCAGAGUUCAAAUCUCUGCGUCCCCA